GAUGAACGCUGGCGGCGUGCUUAACACAUGCAAGUCGAACGGAAAGGCUCCUGCUUGCAGGGGUACUCGAGUGGCGAACGGGUGAGUAACACGUGGGUGAUCUGCCCUGCACUUCGGGAUAAGCCUGGGAAACUGGGUCUAAUACCGGAUAGGACGAUGUUUUGGAUGCCAUUGUGGAAUGUUUUUGCGGUGUGGGAUGAGUUCGCGGCCUAUCAGCUUGUUGGUGGGGGAUUGGCCGACGAAGGCGUCGACGGAUAGCCGGCCUUAGAGGGUGUACGGCGUCCAUGGGACUGCGGGACGGCGCAGACGCCAACGGGAGGCAGCAGGGGGGAAUAUUGCGCAAUGGGGGCGAGCCAGAUGCGACGGCGCUGCGUUGGGGAAGACGGCCUUCGGGUUGUAAACUCCUGUCGCUAGGGACGAAGCGCAAGUGACGGUACCUAGAGAAGAAGCACCGGCUAACUACGUG
rnacentral:rRNA from 1 species